GCCGGGUGUGGUGGCGGCGCAUGCCUGUAAUCCCAGCUACUGGGGAGGCUGAGGUGGGCGGAUUACCUGAGGUCAGGAGUUCGAGACCAGCCUGACCAACAUGGAGAAACCCCAUCUCUA
rnacentral:SRP_RNA from 1 species